GCUUCGGUGGCCUAGUGGUUAGAGUUUCUGCCUCGCAUGUGAGAGGUUGUGGGUUUGAUCCCCAGCCGAAACA